GCCACUCAUGCCACCAACCAGGUGAAGAAGGAACUCAUCUUCAUGCCACCAACCAAAUGAUGAAAUGUACAACCCGUACUCUCUUUCAUGCCACCAACCAGGUGAUGAAAUGUACAACCCAUACUAUAAUAUCAUUUGGCAACUUGCCAUUCAUGCCAUCAACCAGGGGAAGAAGGAACUCAUCCUCGUACCAUUAGCCAGGUGAUGAAAUGUGAUGAAAGGUGAUGAAGGAACUCACCUUCGUACCACCAACCAAGUGAUGAAAGCAACUCACCAUUCAUUCCACCUACUAGAAGACGAGCGGUAAAACUUGUACAUAUGAACUCCUAGCAUUCACAAAUAAUAAAAAACCCUCAAGCUUGACAACUCAACUAGGGGAUCACUUAUGCCCAACAAGAGUUAUAGUCACCAACAAAGUCUUAUUGCAAGCCAACAACAGCUUCAGUGCAUGGCAUACGAAGAUCAAGCUAUUCAGCCUUCUUGCAUCUGCUUUAAACAUUUCGCCUCUGUAACAAUGCAAACACUACAACUCGUAGAAAGCUUCACACACUCUUGAUCAAGACAAUGUGAAGCAAAACCAAUUUAUAAUGCCAACAAGAGCUUCAUCAAAGGAGUUCAACCACAAUUCUCAAAAGCUUCACACACUAUUGAUCAAGACAGUGUGAAACAAAACCAAUUUAUGGUGCCAAUAAGAGCUUCAUCAAUGGAGGGCAACCACAAUUCUCAAAAGCUUCACACACUCUUAAUCAAGACAAUGUGAAGCAAAACCAAUUUAUGGUGCCAACAAAAGCUUCAUCAAAGGAGUUCAACCACAAUUCUCAAAAGCUUCACACUCUUGAUAAAGACAGUGUGAAGCAAAACCAAUUUAUGGUGCCAACAAGAGCUUCAUCAAUGGAGGGCAACCACAAUUCUCAAAAGCUUCACACACUCUUGAUCAAGAGCUUCAUCAAUGGAGGGUAACCACAAUUCUCAAAAGCUUCACACACUCUUGAUCAAGACAGUGUGAAGCAAAACCAAUUUAUUGUGUCAACAAAAGCUUCAUCAAAGGAGUUCAACCACAAUUCUCAAAAGCUUCACACACUCUUGAUCAAGACAGUGUGAAGCAAAACCAAUUUAUGGUGCCAACAAAAGUUUCACCAAUGGAGGGCAACUACAAUUCUCAGACCUUCGAAGCAAAUUCAAUUUAUAUGGUUCAUCCAAACCUUCGACUACUACAAGGUGUGGGUUGCAUCACAAUCUCUUGCUCAACAGUGUGGAAGCAAAAUUUGUAUAUGUUGUCUUUCCCACAUUUUCAAAUUUCUCGUUUCCAAAAAAAAAAAAAAUUGGGAAAUUCAACAAAGCUUCAUCAAUGGAGGACAACUACAAAUUCUCAAAAGCUUCAC
rnacentral:lncRNA from 1 species